GAGAGCCGGAUGCGGUGGAAGUCGCACGUCCGGUUCGGGAGGCGGGCCGCAGAAACGGACCGGUCGAAAGACCGGCACCGCGCUGCGGCCCGACCCCAC
rnacentral:ncRNA from 1 species